GCCUACGGGGGGCAGCAGUGGGGGAUAUUGGACAAUGGGGGAAACCCUGAUCCAGCGAUGCCGCGUGAGGGAAGAAGGUUUUCGGAUUGUAAACCUCUGUGGACAGGGACGAUAAUGACGGUACCUGUCAAGAAAGCCACGGCUAACUACGUGCCAGCAGCCGCGGUAAUACGUAGGUGGCAAGCGUUAUCCGGAUUUACUGGGUGUAAAGGGCGUGUAGGCGGGAAAGCAAGUCAGAUGUGAAAACCAUGGGCUCAACCUGUGGCCUGCAUUUGAAACUGUUUUUCUUGAGUACUGGAGAGGCA
rnacentral:rRNA from 1 species